GCCAAUCAGGACCUUGAUCUGCGCCCUGAUCGGGGGCGCUCACCCUAUCAAUGGGUGGUGGGCCCCUGUCGCGCUGCGCUAUAUAAAUAGGGUGGGGGGACCCGGCUCGGCUCACGAGGUUCGCCGUAGCCUGCCGCCCCCACCGACACACACCUACCGAUCUAGGUUGCGCAGUAGCGGCGGGAAGCACCACCACCACCUCAUCGCCGACCGGAGUCGGCACUGCGCGUCGCUGCCUUGCGCAGACUCCGUCAACAGAACCCGCGAUGGCCAGCAGCUCUGCUGCUCCCACCUCUAGGGGUGAAGGUACCCCAAUUCUCUCACUCUCACACUAGGCACUCACCAGGAACUCCUUGCCCCCUCAUGUCUCUCUCGAACCCGACUAGAUGUGCUCUAGUGAUCCUAGGCUAGGCCCUAACAAUGGUAUCAGACACCUCCUAGCAGCUAUUCUAGAUCGGGAAAAAGCAGUAGAUCGAGAAAAGAACGACGAUCGAAAAAGACACAAAAAAAAAGAAACCCUAACCCUAACCCUAGAUCUAAAGAAAGGGAGACGCGGGAACACUUACCUGCUGUCGCCUUCACCGCCGCCGGCCAUCGCCGGCGAGUGGCAAAGGCCGGCCGAGCCUCGGGCUCGCCGGAGAAAAGGCUCACCCGAGCCGCCGGAGCAUCCGCUCGGGGCUCGGGGAGCGCAAAAGCACCACCACAGGACCGCUCGACGGCGGCGCGCCCAACCCUCGGGGUGGACGCGCGCGCCGGCGAGGGGACCCGCGGUGGCGCCGCCCCUUUUCUCCAUCUGGAUCUCGAACCUUCGGUUUUUGGAGGGAGGAAGGGGGGAAGGCUAGAAAAGAAGGGGAGGAGGGGGCUGCCGCGGCCGUGCGCCUGCGGGGCCAUCCCUCCACCGCCGCCGCCGGCCAUCGCCGGGCGCGGGAGAGACGGCCCCGCCGCCGCCGCCGCGGCGAGAGCGCGCGGGGGGAAAAGAUGGAAAGUGACUAGGGUUUCGGGGGGAGCCGGCGUUCCGCCGGUUUUGUUCCGCCGAAAAUGGCGCCUGGCCGUCGGAUCUGGACGGGCGGUCGGGAUUGUCCGGGCCAGAUUCGGCCCAGGCGGGAUGCGGCGGCAGGCCGCUUUCGCGGCCCAGGCCCAGGUUGCGGCCUGCGCGCGCGCGCCGCGCGAGAGGCCGGCGUCAAGCCGCGUUAGCGGGCCGGCUGCGUCGCGCGUUAGCGGGCCGCCUGCGUCGCGUGAGCGGGCCGCGCGCGGGAACGGGCUGUGGGCCGUUUUCGCGCGUGGGCCGUAUUUCGCGAUUUGCACAGUAACUUCUGUUUUUUGUUUUUUCUAUUUCCAGAAGCAUUUAAUUGAUGUUUUUUUGCAUAGUUUUAGUCUCUAAUCUAAUUUGAACCAACGGGAUAAUUUGUAUUAGAGAUUAAUAAAGUUUUGUACAGUGUUUUGCUUCUGAAAAUAGAUUUAUUUCACAGUUUCCGCUGCAAAAGUCAUAUUUAUUGCUCCAUUUAAAUUUAAUUUGAACCAACGAGACAAUUAAAUUUUGUGAGAGCAUGAUAAAGUUAAUUAGAUCAUGGUGCUGUUAUUUUCUGACCAACGUUGUUAAUAACUGUAUCAUGAUUUAAAAAGUUCUUUUGAUGCUUUUAUUUCUAUUUCUGCCCAACGGUGAUAUAGUUUUAAAUUGCAUCAACAGUUGUAUGUUUUAUUUUUUGACCAACGUUGGAAAUGAAUCAUGCAAUUGUCGUUAUGAUCUCACUUAUGGAUUGUGAAUUUCAGGAUCAUUCAACUUAAUGGUGUGUCUCAAAGAGAUACCCAUUCUCAAAGGCAACAACUACACAGAAUGGAGGAAGAAGAUUGAGUUCUCCUUCGUUUGUGGAGAAGUUGUCUGGGUGCUGACCACACCACAGCCACAAGCUCCACAGAAGCCAGUGAGGGCUGAUGGUGAUGAUGAUGCUGCAUGGCAGCAAAAGGAAAGGGACUAUGCUCCACUGGAGUUGGCAUACACCCUUGAAAACAAACAGUGGACCACUGCCAACAAGAAAUGUAUGGCUUUGGUAAAGAAUACGAUUGAGCCUGCCAUUUUGGGCUCGAUCGCAGAGUGUGACUCUGUUUCAGAGUACCUCGACAAGAUAAGGAAUCAGUUCACUGGUUCCUCAAAGAUAUAUGCUACCCAGCUGUUCAAGCAGCUGGCCACAGAGAGGUACAAUGGCGGAGGGACUGGCAUAAGAGAUCACAUCAUGAGGAUGUAUAACUUGGCAGCACAGCUGAAGCCUAUGGAUCUUGAGCUCAAGCCUGGGCACAUUAUGCAUUUGGUUUUUGCUUCUCUGCCUAAAGAGUUUGACACUUUUGUUGUCAAUUACAACAUGCAGCCAGAACAGUGGGACAUGGAGAAAAUGAUCGCCAUGUGCGUGCAGGAAGAGGACAGACUUCGAUCCUCACAUGGUGGCUCAUUGCACUAUGUGAAGGAUAACAGGAAAAAGAUUGCUAACCCCUCUUUCAAGGCACGUGGAAAAGCUCCUAUGCAGCAGAAUCACCAAAAGCCUCUCCCAGUAGACAAAGAUCAAUGUCUACAUUGCAAGAAAAAGGGGCACUUCAAGAAAGACUGCCCCGACUGGUUAAAGUCAAUAAUGGCAAAAAGAGGUGAGAAUACUAUUUCUUUUGUAAAUGAAUCCUUGUAUACACAGUAUUCGAAAUCUACUUGGUGGAUUGACUCAGGUGCAACUGUUCAUGUUGCAAAUUCUUUACAGGGAUUCCAUUCGACGAGGACUACGCAAAGAAGCGAAAGAUGCGUUGAAGUCGCAAAUGGAGUCCAAGCAGAAGUUGAAGCUGUUGGCGAUGUCUCUUUAGAGCUAGUUGAUGGUUUCAUGCUUGUACUUAAAGAUGUGCUUUAUGUUCCCUCAUUACACAGAAACUUAAUAAGUAUUUCACGUUUGGACCAUGAUGGUUAUGAAUGUCAUUUUGGUAAUGGAAAGUGUGCCAUUUGGUUCGAUAAUGCAUGUGUUGGUGUUGCCAUCCUUCACAAUGAGUUGUAUUUAUUAUCAUUGCGUGAAAAAGUUAAUUCUGUGUGUGAUGUGAAUAUGAAUGUAUCCUCGUCAGAGAAAGAAACAAAGAAAAGAAAGAGAACUCAUGAAAUAUCGUCGAAAUUAUGGCACUGUCGUUUAGGCCAUAUUUCGAGGGGGAGAAUAGAAAGACUAGUUAAGAAUGAAAUUCUUCCCCAAUUAGAGUUCUCAGACUUAGAACAAUGCGUUGAUUGCAUUAAAGGAAAAUUUGUAAAGCAAAUUAAAAAAGGCGCUAAACGUAGCACAAGAAUUUUAGAGAUAAUCCACACUGAUAUUUGUGGACCUUUUCCUGUGAAAAGUGUAGAUGGCUAUGACUUGUUCAUAACAUUCACAGAUGAUUACUCCCGUUACGGUUAUAUUUAUCCAAUCAAAGAAAGAUCAGAAGCGUUGGAUAAAUUUAAGAUAUUUAAAGCUGAAGUUGAAAAUCAGCAUAACAAAAGAAUCAAAAUAGUAAGAUCCGACCGUGGGGGGGAGUACUAUGGUCGGCAUACCCCAUUCGGCCAAGUUCCUGGACCUUUUGCAAGGUUUUUGCAGGAAAAUGGCAUAGUAGCCCAGUAUUCAAUGCCGGGCGAACCUCAGCAAAAUGGAGUAGCUGAAAGGCGUAACCGUACACUGAUGGAUAUGGUGCGCAGCAUGAUGAGCUAUUCCACCUUACCAUUGGGACUGUGGAUGGAGGCGCUGAAGACCGCCAUUCACAUUCUUAAUAGAGUACCAAGUAAGUCGGUGCCCAAAACACCGUACGAACUAUGGACAGGAAGAGUACCCUCACUAAACCACUUACGUGUGUGGGGGAGCCCAGCUGAGGCCAAAGUGUUUAACCCAAACAUCGGGAAACUAGAUCCCAAAACAGUAAGUUGCCACUUCAUUGGCUAUCCGGAAAAAUCAAAGGGUUUUCGUUUCUACUGUCCAGACAGAUUCACAAAGUUUGUAGAAACGAGACAGGCGAUUUUCUUAGAGGAUGAGAUGGUGAGGGGGAGCAUGGUAGCUCGAGAAAUUGAUCUUGAGGAGAAGCGGGUGUGUGCACCUAAUCCGAUGAUUCAGGAACCAUACUUCUCACUACCUAUUAUUCCCGCACCGAUAGUUCCUGAGGUCGUGGUGCAAGCACCUGCUACAGUCCCUGAUAUUGUGGUGCAGGCACCUACUGUAAUUCCACCCGUGGAAACGAUGAGUGAAGUUUUGGAACCUGUCCUUCAGGAGCCAACUGAACCCAUCAUUGCACACGAGGAAGAGUUGCAGCAGCCACCUCAGAAUAGUGUGCCACAAGCAGAGGCACAGAAUAUGACUGAAAGUGAGGGGCCUAGAAGGUCUCAAAGAGUCAGAAAAUCAGCCAUCCCUGAUUGUUAUAAAGUUUAUAAUACAGAAGAAGUUCAUAUAGAAGGUGAUCCCACUUCAUAUGAAGAAGCCAUGAAAAGUGUUCACUCAUCGAAGUGGCUAGAGGCCAUGGAAGAUGAGAUGAAAUCGAUGAGUUCCAACAAUGUUUGGGAACUUGAGGAGAUUCCUAAAGGAGCCAAAACAGUAGGCUGUAAAUGGGUCUACAAGACUAAACGUGACUCCAAAGGGAACAUAGAAAGGUAUAAGGCGAGACUUGUGGCAAAAGGUUUUACACAGAGAGAAGGAAUAGAUUAUAAUGAGACUUUUUCUCCUGUCUCAUGUAAAGACUCCUUCAGAAUCAUAAUGGCACUAGUUGCACAUUUUGAUUUAGAGUUACAUCAGAUGGAUGUAAAAACGGCUUUUCUAAAUGGGGAUUUGGAAGAAAAUGUCUACAUGAAACAACCAAAGGGUUUUGUCAUGGAAGACAAAGAGAAUAUGGGAUGUCGUCUAAAGAAAUCCAUUUACGGAUUAAAGCAAGCCUCUAGACAGUGGUAUCUAAAGUUUAAUGAUAUAAUAAAGAAAUUUGGGUUUCAAGAGAAUAUAGAGGACAAUUGUGUCUAUGCAAAGUUCAAGAAUGGGAAAUACAUUUUCCUAAUCCUGUAUGUGGAUGAUAUUUUACUUGCAAGCAGUGAUAUCAGUCUACUGCAAGAGACAAAGAAGUUCUUGUCCUCAAACUUCGAUAUGAAGGAUCUUGGUGAAGCAACAUAUGUUUUGGGCAUAGAAAUUCACCGAGAUAGAUUGAAUGGGGUUCUAGGGUUAUCGCAAAAGGCAUAUUUAGAAAAGGUUCUAAAGAAGUACAAUAUGCAUGCGAGUAAGGCCACACCUGCUCCUAUAGUCAAGGGUGAUAGUUUUGGGAAUUUUCAAUGUCCCAGGAACCAGUACGAGAUCGAUCAAAUGAAAGCGGUUCCAUAUGCUUCAGCUGUCGGAAGCUUACAGUAUGCCCAAGUGUGCACUCACCCUGACUUAGCUUUUGUCACCGGGGUUCUCGGUAGAUAUCAAAGUAAUCCAGGUAUAGAACACUGGAAAAUGGUAAAGAAGGCGUUACGCUACGCGCAAGGCACAAAAGAACUCAUGCUUACAUAUAAGAGAUCUGAUUCCCUAGAGAUAAAAGGGUAUUCAGAUGCAGACUUUGCGGGAGACAAAGAUGAUAGAAAAUCCACGUCUGGAUAUGUAUUCAGUCUCGCAGGAGGAGCUAUCUCAUGGAGAAGCUCGAAACAGAAAGUAACUGCGUCAUCAACGAUGCAUGCAGAAUUCAUAGCAUGUCAUGAGGCCACGGGGCAGGCAAUGUGGCUAAAGAAAUUUAUACCCGGAUUGAGAGUGGUUGACUGUAUUCACAGACCACUAAAGAUGUACUGCGAUAAUGAACCAGCAGUAUUCUAUGCUCACAACAACAAAUCAAGCAAUGCUUCCAAAGCCAUUGAGAUAAAGUUUUAUGUUGUGAAAGACAGAAUCCAGGAUCACACUAUAAGUCUCGAGCAUAUAAGAACAAAAGAUAUGCUUGCGGAUCCGCUAACGAAAGGCUUACCUCCCAAUGUGUUCAGAGAACACUUAGCCGGCAUGGGUUUAAGGGAAAGCCUAUGAUUCCUGGAUUGGAUAAGGCCCAAAAGAAACAGAAUUGUUUCAAAAUAGAGAGGUGUGUUGUAGCUGUUGAUUCUAUCGGCAAUUAAGCUGUGACGAUGAAACAUGCUCUACAUAUUAAUCUACGAUGAAACGAAUAAAAGUGAAAAGUGUAAAGCUAAAAGUAAAUGAUGAGAUCAAGGGGGAGAAUGUUAGAUUGAUCUCUUUCCCGAUUGGCCCAAAGGCCAAUCAGGACCUUGAUCUGCGCCCUGAUCGGGGGCGCUCACCCUGGGCGCUCACCCUAUCAAUGGGUGGUGGGCCCCUGUCGCGCUGCACUAUAUAAAUAGGGUGGAGGGACCCGGCUCGGCUCACGAGGUUCGCCGUAGCCUGCCGCCCCCACCGACACACACCUACCGAUCUAGGUUGCGCAGUAGCGGCGGGAAGCACCACCGCCACCUCACCG
rnacentral:lncRNA from 1 species